UGUAAUAUCUCUGUAAAUAAGAUAGCAUACAUAUAGACAAUCUUUUACAUUAUCACUUGUAUUUUUUCUGCUAAUACAGCUAAUGAUCUCAUUCAACUUGCAGUUUUUUGUGUUGGAGCAUAGGGAAAUCCAGCAACGCUUUGUUAUUUAAUGACCAACAACAAGUGCGAUCUAUCAUUAGUGCUGCGUUAUCUUACCAACAGGCUUUCAAUGAAGCCCAACCAAUAAAAAGAAUUUCGACUGAUAACUCACCAAUUCAGGUUGUGUCAUGGUCACCUGCUCCAGUAAAUGUCUUAAUCAUGCAGCUCUGGAUGGAAAGUGAGGUCAAGGAUCAACUGCAUUACUCUUCCGUGACAACUCUGGUUCUAUUAGAGACUGGAACUUCAAUUCCUACCCUCACAUAGUGGACCCAUGGGUCUUAGAAAGCAUAGCUUGUAGCUUGUAGGGAUGCCAUUCAAUUGGCAGUGGCUAAAGGAUACAAAAGGAUUCAAUUUAAAGGAGACUGCCUAACUCUAAUUCAGGCCUUGCAUGAUUCUCACCCUCCUAUGGAUAUAUCAGCAAUUGUACAAGAUAUUUGGCUCCUUACUGCCCAGCUGGAUUUAGUUACUUUCCUUUUUGUUAAACGUUCCGGUAACAAAGCAGCGCACUUGUUGGCUCAAAAGGUUCUUCAUGAUGCCUUCUUU
rnacentral:misc_RNA from 1 species